CGGAUUUCUGCAAAACAUACACACACAUACACAUACCCACGCACGCAUAUUAAAAAAUAAACUCCAGAACCAGCUCAAGUCAGCAAUUUUGAAAGGGGGUCGAAUAAGAGGAGACAACCGGAAAGCCCCUAAGUGACAGGAUAUUACUUUAAAGAGAAAAUAAUGAACAAAAAGACCAUCCUCGCUGGAGCACGCUCCAAAACUACUACUGCCAAUUUUAUUUCAGUUGCUCAGGCAAAUGUUUCCAAGGGAGCGAUUCCGAAUGUCUGCACGAUUUUUACCCCCAUGCCGGUCUCCGAUUCCCCGUCCUCACCAUCUUUUUCUCCCACCCAAACCAAAAGAAAGGGGAGACCCCAGCGCGGAGGAGACGCGGGAGCGCGGGGCUGGAAAAAGCCCCUGACCAGCGCACUCAACCUGCGGGCCGAAGGGCUGCUCUCCGGCCAGCCUGGGCGCCGGGGACAGCAGCCGGCGCGGCGUCCUACCUGGUGAAGUUCGUCCUGCCCUCGGCGUGGACCCAGGCCCCGGUCGCCGCCCGGGAGGGCACCGGCCUCGCUCGCUUGCUCGCUCGCCCGCCCUUGCCCGCUCGCUCCCCGCCCGCCGCCUCCCUCGCGCGCCCGCUCCGGUCCUCCGGCUCCCACUACAGCUCAUUCCAAUAUGGCAUCCUCUCUGUGCGCAUGCUCGGCGCUCUUUUUUUUUUUUUUUUUUUUUUUUUUUUAAGAUUUUGUGUGUGUGUGUAUGUGUGUGCGUGCGCGUGCAGCGAACUCCUUCAACGACCUUUUCCAGCGCUUGCAAAAUUUCUUAAGCCAAUUAGCCUGCGGGACGUGAUCGGCUCCUUCCCCAGCCAGCUCCGCGCCAUUCCCUGCGCCUAAGCAGGCGGGCACCCCCAGGACCCUGGGACCUUCCACGCCCACGCGGCCUCCUCCCCACCGCGCUCCCCUUCCUCCUUUUUGUGAGCUCCCUCCAUACAUGAUCUGCAGAAAGUUCCCAUCGCGGGCGUUUCCGCACACCCCUCCGCAAGGACAACUGGGCAAACUCCCGUUUCCCUGGCUGCGGUUCGUGAGCUGGGUUUCCAAUGGCUCAGUCGACCGUGUGCACAAACUUGCGCUUUAUCCGCCGGGGAUCGCUGGGAGCGGAGAUAAAUUCAAUCCCCAGGGCAAUCUUGGCCCCGCCCGCCCCACCCCAUCCUGUGCUUAAAUAGAGCCUUUCUUGAAGCUGCGAACAUUUCCAGGCCCCUUGGGCAGGGCUGGAGGGGCCGAGGAGAGCUAUUCGAGGGAAAGGUGCCCCGAGGGGCAGGAAAUUAAGUUGGGGCUGCCCGGGCGAGCUGCCAGGUAGCCGUGCUCGCCACGGCGUCUCAUGGGGCACCUAGCUAGUGGCGGGCCUCAUAGGGCGGGAAAAGAAUCGUCGCUCACACCCCAGCAAAACGUGGCCCUCGACGGUCCGUUGGAGAGCCCCGGCGGCCGUGAGCCCCGGGCAGGGCUGGACGUCUGCGGAGCCCUCGGGCACUUUGUCCCGGGCGCCUGGGGAGGAACGCGGAGCUCCCAGGGCCUUAGGUGCAACGGCUGCGCAGAGCCCAAACGAAAUGUCCCCAGUGCGGAAAAGCCGGUGACGCCCUGGUAGCAAGACCAAGAGCUUCCGAAGAACGCUGCGCCCUUAACUAGGGGGCCUCGCAGAGAUGCCUGUGUGGGCCUGCAUUGUAUAUUUCUGCGAAAUAGCGAAUGGACACGUUUGCUCAGGGUUUUUAUGGUUGCCAAAGGGGGUAAAAUUACCCAGUCCCCCAAAUCUGUGUCCCAUGAAUCCCUCUCAUAGUACCCCUCUCCAGGGGGCCAAGAGGUCCUCCAGGUCCCCGUGGGUUCGCAGCUCCACCCGCCCUUCCUCGCCCUGCAUCCCUAAGGAGAGGUGUCCGCUCUGAAGGGCUAGGGGCCAGCCAUGGAGUGAGGGGACCGGGGCUGACCACGCGCGGCACAGACAGAGGUCCUCAGGCGGGCCCUCUCCUGGACGGUGGGGCCGGAGCUGAUCUAGAAGAAAUACGGAGGGACGUGCCGAGAAGCCGCUCUCCUUCGCCGCGACCCUGGAGAGCGCCUCUCCACCCAAAGGAUCUGCCGAGCUGAGAGAUCCAGGGCGGGCGUCCGCAGCCGUGAGGCCCCCUGCGCCGCCAGUAUGGGAAGAUCCUGCCUCCUUACACCUUGGAGAACGCUGGGCGACGACUAAAGCGCCUUCCGCCGGCCUGUCACUCCAUGUGACACAGGAGCCACGUGAGACCCAGAAGAGUCCAGCGACUCGCCGCGCGGCGCACUUUAAACUCUAGCCUGAGUCUGCGACCCCUCCAGCUCUCCAGUCCCCAGCUGUUGGGGACAUCAAGCCGGAGCCCUGGGCUCUCUGCCCUGUGGGUCGCUGAAAGCAGAGACUCCUCAAACCAACCGAACCGGGCGCAUUAACCCUCUCGCCUGCACCCCGCUGCCUCCCGGUUGAGCCCCGAGGCGGCUCCAGGUAGAACCUGCUGGACUGACUGCGGCGUCCAGAAAUCUGGAGUGUGGGCUCCAGACACUCUCCACGGUUUGGCCCCGGGUCUCAACACCCAAGUCGCCUCUUCUGGCUCCUUCACCACACAGCGGGGCCUGUGGAAAGGGAGGGGCCGAGAGACCCGUCGGCGCACCACUGUCCUCGAGGGGUCCCCACCCUGUGCACUGCUGAAGCGCAGGGCGCGCCGCGGCAGGAAUGGCCCCGAGUGCGGAUCCCCUGCCCUGAGCCUCCCACUCUUGGCCCGCGCUGCGCCUACCCAGUGGCCCUGGCCCCGCAGGGCGACAGCGGCUGCUCCCUCCCAUUUGCGUCCCAGACCGCGCGGCCUCGCUUAGCUCCCGGGAGCCGACAGGCGCUUGCCCUGGUGCCAGCGCAGGGCUUCCCGGGGGCUUGGGGUAGGGGUAGGGGUGCGGGGGGGAAGGGGAGAACGUAAUUUCCUUCUGCAGGAGUCGUGGAGACGUGAGCUGCAACCAGCCACCGCGCUCUCUCCAGGCUUGUUUACCAGUUUUAGGUCAUCAUUGUGCACGAAACAUUCUUUCAUCCAAAUAAAAGCAAAUGCAGAAGAACACCUGAUCCCAAACA
rnacentral:lncRNA from 10 species